GUGUGCUCGGGGCCGGGGGCGGCGGUAACAUGUAGGGGACGGGGGUGGUCCGGAGUCAUGAGGCGUGAGGCGCGCGGAGGCGGCUCGGAAGGUCGGUCGUGAAAUGCCGGGGGUCAACCCCGGGACUGCGUCCGAUACUCCCGAGCUGGAGGCAGGUAGGGGAGAUCGGAAUUCCUGGUGUAGCGGUGAAAUGCGCAGAUAUCAGGAGGAACACCGGUGGCGAAGGCGGAUCUCUGGGCCUUGCCUGACGCUGAGGCGCGAAAGCUAGGGGAGCGAACAGGAUUAGAUACCCGGGUAGUC
rnacentral:rRNA from 1 species